rnacentral:misc_RNA from 1 species
UGGUUCUGGCAUCGAUGAAGAACGCAGCGAAAUGCGAUAAGUAAUGUGAAUUGCAGAAUUCAGUGAAUCAUCGAAUUUUUGAACGCAUAUUGCACCUUUUGGUAUUCCGAAAGGUAUGCCUGUUCGAGCGUCAUUACAACCCUCAAACUUGGAUUUGAUGUUGGGCAUAUUGCUGUUAUGGCAUGCCUAAAAAUUAAUGAUGGUAACCUUCAACCAUGGGCGCACAGAUGUCGCUAUAAUGGGGAUGGGUCGCUAUCUCAAACGAUAAUAUCUAAAUGUUGACCUCGGAUCAGGUAGGGAUACCCGCUGA